CCUCUCCUCAGGUGUUCAAGCUUCGCGCGCUGGCCGAGCUUCAGCCCCACGGUCGGAACGUGAGCUUUCUGUAGCCUCUCCCUUGCGUCAUGUUCCCGGCCGUCUCCUCUCCGCGGACCCCGGGGCCCGGGGCCCGAAGGGGCCCGUUGGGCGGAGUCGGGCCGGGCUCCACGCCCCGGGCGACCAGCAGGAAGGGUCUGGCCCUGGGGUCUUCGGUCAGCUCCCCAGUGCUCUUCUCGCCGGCCGGCCGUCGUAGCUCGCUGAGCUCGCGAGGAACACCUACACGAAUAUUCCCACACCACUCCAUAACUGAGUCUGUGAACUAUGAUGUGAAAACAUUUGGAUCUUCUCUCCCUGUUAAAGUCAUGGAAGCCUUAACGUUGGCUGAAGUUGACGAUCAGCUGACUGUUCACAUAGAUGAAGGUGGAUGGGCUUGUCUGGUCUGCAAAGAGAAACUCAUUAUUUGGAAGAUUGCUCUGUCACCUAUCACCAAGUUAUCUGUGUGCAAAGAACUUCAGCUACCACCUACUGAUUUCUACUGGAGUGCCAACUUGGUGGCUCUCUCUUACUCUGCUACCUCAGGUGAAGCACAUUCUACUCAGGCUGUUGCUGUCAUGGUUGCCACCAGAGAAGGAUCCAUCCGCUAUUGGCCAAGCCUUGCAAGUGAAGACACCUACACAGAGACGUCCGUAGAUCUGGGAGGUGAUAAGACUUACAGUUUCCUAACAACAGUGCAGGGAGGAAGUUUUAUUUUAUCCUCAUCGGGAGGCCAGCUGAUUCGCCUGAUACCCGAAAGUGUAGGAAAAAUUCAUCAGCAUGUCCUUCCUCAAGGGCAAGGUGUGCUUUCAGGAAUUGGUCGGAAGGUUUCUUCUCUUUUGGGAAUUUUAUCUCCUAGUAGUGAUCUCAUACUUUCAAGUGUCCUUUGGGAUAGAGAGCGAUCAAGUUUUUAUAGCUUGACAAGUUCAAACAUCAGUAAAUGGGAAUUAGAUGAUUCUUCAGAAAAACAAGCACAUAGUUGGGAUAUAAAUAGAGUCCUGAAGGAAAACAUUAUUGAUGCUAUCUGGGGAUCUGAAAGUAACUAUGAAGCUAUUAAAGAAGGGGUCAACAUUCGGUAUUUGGACUUGAAGCAAAACUGCGAUGGGCUCCUGAUUUUGUCAGCGGCGUGGCACCUGGCGGACAAGCCCUGUCUCGUCUAUUACUCGCUGGUAACAGUAGAAGAUAACGGCUACCAAAUGUCAGAUGCAGUGACUGUGGAAGUCACUCAGUAUAACCCACCUUUUCAGUCUGAAGACUUGAUUAUAUGUCAGUUGAUGGUCCCAAACUUUUCAAACCAGACUGCCUAUCUGUAUACUGAAAGUGCUGUCUACGUGUGCUCCACAGGAACUGGGAAGUUUUCUCUUCCUCGGGAGAAAAUCGUCUUCAAUACACAAGGAGAUAAUAUUUUAGGAGCUGGUUCCUGUGGGGGCGUUCCUAUCCUUUUUUCUAGAAACAGUGGACUGGUGUCGAUUACUUCAAGGGAAAAUGUGUCUGUAUUGGCAGAAGACCUUGAAGAUUCCCUGGCAUCUUCAGUUGCUGGACCAGGCAAUGAGAGUGUGGCUUUUGACACCUCUACCAAGAAUGAAACUAUUGCCCGGGAAGAUAAAACCAAAUCGCUAAAAGCUGCUUUUCUGCAAUACUGCAGAAAAGAUUUAGGUCAUGCUCAAAUGAUAGUUGAUGAGCUGUUUUCCUCUCACUCUGAUGUGGAUUCCGAUUGUGAACUAGACAGAGCUGUUACCCAAAUCAGUGUGGACCUGGUGGACGACUACCCUGCUUCUGACCCGCGGUGGGCAGAGUCUGUCCCCGAGGAAGCACCUGGGUUCAGCAAUACAUCGUUGAUUAUUCUCCACCAGCUCGAAGACAAGAUGAAGGCCCAUUCUUUCCUUAUGGACUUCAUUCACCAAGUCGGCUUGUUUGGACGUCUCGGCAGUUUUCCAGUGAGGGGGCUGCCGAUGGCCACACGGCUGCUGCUCUGUGAACACGCCGAGAAGCUGGCCGCCGCCAUCGUCCUCAAGAACCACCACUCGAGGCUUUCCGACCUUGUGAACACAGCGAUACUGAUGGCUUUAAACAAGAGGGACUGCGACAUCCCGUGCAACCUGACCCCCGCAGACGUCUUCUUCAGAGAGGUGUCCCAGGUAGAUACCGUCUGUGAGUGUUUACUGGAGCACGAGGAGCAAGUCUUGAAGGACACGUCCUUGGAAUCAGUUGAAUGGGCGGAGGUGGUGAUCAGUGUGAACAGUAUUCUCAAGGACAUGCUGCAAGCUGCUAGUCAUUAUCGACAAAAUAGAAACUCCUUGUAUAGAAGAGAAGAGCCAGUAGAAAAAGAACCUGAGUAUAUUCCAUGGACAGCAACGAGUGGUCCUGCCGGCAUCCGGACAGCAAUAGUGCGCCAGCAUGGGAUUGUCCUGAAAAUGGUUUAUCCUCAGGCAGACAGCAACCUCCGAAACAUUCUGACAGAGCAGCUGGUAGCACUAAUUGAUUGCUUCCUGGAUGGUUAUGUUUCUCAGCUCAAGUCUGUGGACAGAUCCAGUGAUCAAGAAAGAUAUAACAAUCUGGAAAUGGAAUACCUGCAGAAAAGAUCAGAUCUCUUAUCUCCGCUUCUCACACUAGGCCAGUACCCAUGGGCUGCUUCAUUAGCAGAAAAAUACUGUGACUUUGAUAUCUUAGUACAAAUGUGUGAGCAGACCGACAACCAGACCAGACUGCAGCGCUACAUGACACAGUUUGCUGAUCAGAAUUUUUCAGACUUUCUCUUCCGUUGGUAUCUGGAGAAAGGAAAGAGAGGCAAAUUGUUAUCUCAGCCUAUUUCUCAGCACGGACAGUUGGCCAAUUUUUUGCAAGCUCAUGAACAUCUCAGCUGGUUACAUGAAAUUAACAGCCAAGAAUUAGAAAAGGCUCAUGCAACACUUCUAGGUUUGGCAAAUAUGGAAACUCGUUACUUUGCGAAGAAAAAAACCCUUCUUGGCUUGAGUAAAUUGGCUGCAUUAGCUUCAGGCUUUUCAGAAGAUACACUGCAAGGAAAAAUUGAAGAAAUGGCUGAGCAGGAGCGCUUUCUGCUGCACCAGGAGACCCUGCCUGAGCAGCUGCUGGGCGAGAGGCAGCUGAGUCUCAGUGCGAUGCCGGUACUGACUGCACCGCAGCUCAUUGGCCUGUAUAUCUGUGAAGAAAACAGAAGAGCUAAUGAGUAUGAUUUCAAGAAAGCUUUGGACUUACUUGAAUAUAUUGAUGAGGAGGAAGAUAUAAAUAUAAAUGAUCUAAAACUGGAAAUCCUUUGCAAAGCUCUUCAGAGAGAUAACUGGUCCAGUUCAGAUGGUAAAGAUGAUCCAAUUGAAGUAUCUAAAGACAGUAUAUUUGUGAAAAUCUUACAGAAACUUUUAAAAGAUGGGUCUUAUGGUUCUCACCUGUGAGAUCCUGUCAGGUGAUACUGACUGGGACACAGGACCCUGCCACCUUCAUGCGCUGCCACAAACCCAGUUAUUCCCGUGUGACGAAAGCCAGUCUGACGACCCCGGCCCGUGGACCACGAGGAUGUAAAGCUGCCGCUCUCACAGCAGGAUGGCUUCACCCUUCAGGCGUAGGGGGCUGCCGGGAAUCGCUGUGAAGCACACUGCUCGAGGUGACUGGGCCUGAAGGAGAGGCACGCCGACGUGACCGCAGCCUCGCUCCCCACGCACGUGUGCGUUUUGAGGCUAAUCACUACGAAAGUAUUAGUGUAGCCCGCCUACCUGUUCCUGGAGACUUUAUUCAAGGAACGCUUCUAAAGAAAACAGCUUUCUGUAUUCCUACGUAAAAUUCACUCAUUAAAUACCAAGGUAUAUGUUUUAGAUAUAAUCUUGUAUAAUUCUAAAAUUUAAAAAGUACUGUAGAAAAUGUGAAACCUAUUAAGGAAAAAAAAAAGUGGGUGGAGGAAAAUAAACCCCUGUAAUCCCACCAGCCAGAAAUAACUUCAGUUACCAUUUUGAAAUAUAUCCUAGAUUGUGCAUGUGUCAGUAUUUGGACUGUGCACAUGUUACAUUUUGUAACCUGCUUAUUUUGAUGGGAGGUAUUGUGAGCAUUUCUGUGUAUCUUUAAUCUGGUAUUUCUCAACCUUCCUUUUUUUUUUUUAACAUCUUUAUUGGAGUAUAAUUGCUUUACAGUGGUGUGUUAGUUUCUGCU